rnacentral:tRNA from 2 species
GCCGAAGUGGCGGAAUUGGCAGACGCACCUGACUCAAAAUCAGACGAGGUCUCCUCGUGCCGGUUCGAGUCCGGCCUUCGGCACCA